GAUGAAGAACGUAGCGAAAUGCGAUAAGUAAUGUGAAUUGCAGUAUUCAGUGAAUCAUCGAAUCUUUGAACGCACCUUGCGCCCUUUGGCCAUUCCGAAGGGCAUGCCUGUUUGAGUAUCAUGAACACCUCAACUCUUCAUGGUUUUCCAUGAUGAGCUUGGACUUUGGGGGUCUUGCUGGCCUGUGGGUCGGCUCCUCUCAAAUGAAUCAGCUUGCCGGUUUUUGGUGGGCAUCACAGGUGUGAUAACUAUCUACGCUUGUGGUUUUCCACCAGGGUAACCUUCAGCAGUGGAGGUUCACUGGAGCUUACAAAUGUCUCUCCUCUGUGAGGACAGCCCUUUGAAUGUUUGAUCUCAAAUCAGGUAGGACUACCCGCUGAACUUAAGCAUAUCAAUAAGCGGAGGA
rnacentral:misc_RNA from 1 species